rnacentral:snRNA from 1 species
AAAACUUAAAAUACGGCCCUGAUCUGUUCUUAUCAGUUUAGUAACUUAUACCUGUACCAAUGGCUCACACGAUAUUAACUCAAUAUUUUUAGGGUAAAGAUUCAUUGAUGUAGCUUGCUGCUUGGGUCUUCGAGUGUCGCCUUAGCUUUGCACUAUUGCCUUGGCCUGGCACACCUCAC